rnacentral:rRNA from 1 species
UACAGAGGGUGCGAGCGUUAAUCGGAAUUACUGGGCGUAAAGCGCGCGUAGGCGGCUUUGCAAGUCGGGUGUGAAAUCCCCAGGCUUAACCUGGGAACUGCAUUCGAGACUGCAUUGCUAGAGUAUGGGAGAGGGAAGUGGAAUUUCCGGUGUAGCGGUGAAAUGCGUAGAUAUCGGGAGGAACACCAGUGGCGAAGGCGACUACCUGGCCUGUUCUUGACGCUGAGGCGCGAAAGCUAGGGGAGCAAACGGG